GAGGGGCCCGCGCCCGAUUAGCUUGUUGGUAGGGUAACGGCCUACCAAGGCCUUGAUCGGUAGCCGGUCUGAGAGGAUGGCCGGCCACACUGGAACUGAGACACGGUCCAGACUCCUACGGGAGGCAGCAGUGGGGAAUCUUGCGCAAUGGGCGAAAGCCUGACGCAGCGACGCCGCGUGGGGGAUGAAGCUUCUCGGAGUGUAAACCCCUUUCGACCCGGACGAAUGGCCCGCAAGGGACGUGACGGUACGGGUAGAAGAAGCCCCGGCUAACUACGUGCCAGCAGCCGCGGUAAGACGUAGGGGGCCAGCGUUGCUCGGAAUUACUGGGCGUAAAGGGUCCGUAGGCGGUGCGGCAAGUCGGGGGUGAAAUCUCUGGGCUUAACUCAGAGGCUGCCUCCGGAACUGCCGUGCUCGAGUGCGGGAGAGGCGAGCGGAAUUGCAGGUGUAGCGGUGAAAUGCGUAGAUAUCUGCAGG
rnacentral:rRNA from 1 species